UAUUAACUACAAAACUCUCAAAAAUAAGAAAACCUCAACUCUCAAUCGAAGGAGCAGAGGAGCUUGAUUCAGAACUCACUUUUGGAUUCGAUUCUCGACGGGCAGAGCUCAAAGCCCAUCUAACUGUAGAUGGGGGCUUCGGUGUGGGCAGGAAUUAUGCAUGCGCAGACGUUGGAGCAUGGUGAUAAGAGUGUAAUUAAUGGAGCUGUGCCUACAUUUUGGACUCCACCCACUGAUGGCUAUCUAAAAGUUAAUUGUGAUGCUUCUGUGAGUCAUAAUGGUGGCCAGGUUGAUGUGGGUAUUAUUUACAGGGAUAGUAGUGGAUCAUUAGUGGCAGCGGUGGGAAAAAGAAUUGCAAGUAGACUUGAGCCUUGUGCGGCUGAAUUACUUACUAUUUUUUUUCUUUGAAAUUAAUUACUUGCUAUUUUAAGAGGCCUGGAAUGGUGCAUUGAACAAGGAUGGAGACGCCUGGUUGUUGAGACGGACUGUAUGGAGGCAGUGCUUUUGGUAAAUGGGAAUGAUGAAUGCCUUGCUGAGGAAGGUUUGUUGGUUGACAGAAUUCUUGCUGGGAUCUGUUGGUGUUCGAGACAUUCAUUAUGUUCUAAGGAGUGCUAAUAAGGCGGCUCAUGAAGCCACUCGUGAUUUUGGGCGACAUGUUUGGUUAGGGGUUGGGCCUUCUUGGCUCAUGGAUAUCAUCUUAUGUGACCAAUUCGUAACUGGUUCGGUUAGUCGGGAGGAGAGUGGGGAUUCAUUGUACACCGCCGGUCAUUCCCAUAUUUUGUAGCUGAUUUCUUUUGAAUAAAAUCGUUAUCCAUUCUCAAAAAAAAAAUCCUGGAAGAACU